AAACUAGAAAGAAUAUGAAUGAAAGACAAUCAAGAAAAAUAAGGAACUCAAUGAAUAAAGAAGGCACACAAAAAGAGUCCUAAAGAAAAGUGCUAGAGUAGAUUAAAGAAAACAGAAAACAGCUACUGGAAUUUUGUUUUUUUUUUUAAAGCAAACUGUGCUAUGUUUACAGAUUUAACUGUACCGAUUGAAAGCGAACUGGAAUGUGAAAAAUUAACCACAGAAACUUCAAUGUCUUAACUCAAAAAUGGCACUGGAAUGAGGUAAAAACAGUAAGCCAAUUGAGAGAAAUAAAUUUUUCAAAAUUGCUGCCCAAUUACCGUAUUCUUUUCGGCAGUAUUGUACACUUUUCCUAUUUUAUUUAUCAUUUUUUGUGUACUUGGAAUUUUUGAGUGAUUCUGUUUUCUAUGCUUUUGUAAC
rnacentral:lncRNA from 1 species